AUUGAACGCUGGCGGCAGGCCUAACACAUGCAAGUCGAGCGGAUGAAGGGAGCUUGCUCCUGGAUUCAGCGGCGGACGGGUGAGUAAUGCCUAGGAAUCUGCCUGGUAGUGGGGGAUAACGUCCGGAAACGGGCGCUAAUACCGCAUACGUCCUGAGGGAGAAAGUGGGGAUCUUCGGACCUCACGCUAUCAGAUGAGCCUAGGUCGGAUUAGCUAGUUGGUGGGGUAAAGGCCUACCAAGGCGACGAUCCGUAACUGGUCUGAGAGGAUGAUCAGUCACACUGGAACUGAGACACGGUCCAGACUCCUACGGGAGGCAGCAGUGGGGAAUAUUGGACAAAGGGCGAAAGCCUGAUCCAGCCAUGCCGCGUGUGUGAAGAAGGUCUUCGGAUUGUAAAGCACUUUAAGUUGGGAGGAAGGGCAGUAAGUUAAUACCUUGCUGUUUUGACGUUACCAACAGAAUAAGCACCGGCUAACUUCGUG
rnacentral:rRNA from 1 species